AUCAUCAUCAUCGUGUUAUUAUUAUUAUUAUUAUUAUUAUUAGUGGUAGUAGUAGUAGUAGUAUUACUACUACUGUUUUUUUGUUUUUUUUCUGUGUUUUUUUCAGAAUUCCGAAGACAGAAUAUUGAACUAUGAAGAACUCACGGAUAGCUAUCCCAGGUACCCUGAUAUACACGACGUCGACGUGGCCAGCCUAAGCCACGAAGCUCUCACUGACAUGCGUCCGUACAUGAACGAGUGUCCGUACACCGUGUACCCAGACACCGCCGUGCCGCAAGUCUUCAACCUGUUCCGCAGCAUGGGAUUGCGUCAUCUUCCGGUCGUCGGCCAUGAUGGAAAGUUAGCCGGAAUUAUAACUCGUCACAACUUGACACACGAAUACCUACAUAAUGCACUACAUCGACAGCAACGUCACUGACGUUUAACCAACGCCUAGACGCCAUAUUAGAUUCACCUCAGCAACACGAUGUAAGUUAGUGUACGAACUAUCAAGGAAGUUGCCUUCUGUAUAUGACCAAAAGGGUACGGAGGACAUUUGGUGAACCAGAGUAAAAACGUUUAAUGCGGAUGUUCUGUUGAAUGAUAAAAGAUGUCCGAGAUUGCAGUUCCAAAACCAGACAAAUAUUUCUAUCUAGAAAUGUUGACAUUUAUUACUUUUUAUUACACACACACACACACACACACACACACACACACACACACACA
rnacentral:lncRNA from 1 species